rnacentral:rRNA from 1 species
AGCGGCGGACGGGUGAGUAAUGCUUAGGAAUCUGCCUAUUAGUGGGGGACAACAUUCCGAAAGGAAUGCUAAUACCGCAUACGCCCUACGGGGGAAAGCAGGGGAUCUUCGGACCUUGCGCUAAUAGAUGAGCCUAAGUCGGAUUAGCUAGUUGGUGGGGUAAAGGCCUACCAAGGCGACGAUCUGUAGCGGGUCUGAGAGGAUGAUCCGCCACACUGGGACUGAGACACGGCCCAGACUCCUACGGGAGGCAGCAGUGGGGAAUAUUGGACAAUGGGCGGAAGCCUGAUCCAGCCAUGCCGCGUGUGUGAAGAAGGCCUUUUGGUUGUAAAGCACUUUAAGCGAGGAGGAGGCUACUGGUACUAAUACUACUGGAUAGUGGACGUUACUCGCAGAAUAAGCACCGGCUAACUCUGUGCCAGCAGCCGCGGUAAUACAGAGGGUGCGAGCGUUAAUCGGAUUUACUGGGCGUAAAGCGUGCGUAGGCGGCUGAUUAAGUCGGAUGUGAAAUCCCUGAGCUUAACUUAGGAAUUGCAUUCGAUACUGGUCAGCUAGAGUAUGGGAGAGGAUGGUAGAAUUCCAGGUGUAGCGGUGAAAUGCGUAGAGAUCUGGAGGAAUACCGAUGGCGAAGGCAGCCAUCUGGCCUAAUACUGACGCUGAGGUACGAAAGCAUGGGGAGCAAACAGGAUUAGAUACCCUGGUAGUCCAUGCCGUAAACGAUGUCUACUAGCCGUUGGGGCCUUUGAGGCUUUAGUGGCGCAGCUAACGCGAUAAGUAGACCGCCUGGGGAGUACGGUCGCAAGACUAAAACUCAAAUGAAUUGACGGGGGCCCGCACAAGCGGUGGAGCAUGUGGUUUAAUUCGAUGCAACGCGAAGAACCUUACCUGGUCUUGACAUAGUAAGAACUUUCCAGAGAUGGAUUGGUGCCUUCGGGAACUUACAUACAGGUGCUGCAUGGCUGUCGUCAGCUCGUGUCGUGAGAUGUUGGGUUAAGUCCCGCAACGAGCGCAACCCUUUUCCUUAUUUGCCAGCACUUCGGGUGGGAACUUUAAGGAUACUGCCAGUGACAAACUGGAGGAAGGCGGGGACGACGUCAAGUCAUCAUGGCCCUUACGACCAGGGCUACACACGUGCUACAAUGGUCGGUACAAAGGGUUGCUACCUAGCGAUAGGAUGCUAAUCUCAAAAAGCCGAUCGUAGUCCGGAUUGGAGUCUGCAACUCGACUCCAUGAAG